GACGAACGCUGGCGGCGUGCUUAACACAUGCAAGUCGAACGGAAAGGCCCUGCUUUUGUGGGGUGCUCGAGUGGCGAACGGGUGAGUAACACGUGAGUAACCUGCCCUUGACUUUGGGAUAACUUCAGGAAACUGGGGCUAAUACCGGAUAGGAGCUCCUGCUGCAUGGUGGGGGUUGGAAAGUUUCGGCGGUUGGGGAUGGACUCGCGGCUUAUCAGCUUGUUGGUGGGGUAGUGGCUUACCAAGGCUUUGACGGGUAGCCGGCCUGAGAGGGUGACCGGCCACAUUGGGACUGAGAUACGGCCCAGACUCCUACGGGAGGCAGCAGUGGGGAAUAUUGCACAAUGGGCGGAAGCCUGAUGCAGCAACGCCGCGUGCGGGAUGACGGCCUUCGGGUUGUAAACCGCUUUCGCCUGUGACGAAGCGUGAGUGACGGUAAUGGGUAAAGAAGCACCGGCUAACUACGUGCCAGCAGCCGCGGUGAUACGUAGGGUGCGAGCGUUGUCCGGAUUUAUUGGGCGUAAAGGGCUCGUAGGUGGUUGAUCGCGUCGGAAGUGUAAUCUUGGGGCUUAACCCUAAGCGUGCUUUCGAUACGGGUUGACUUGAGGAAGGUAGGGGAGAUUGGAAUUCCUGGUGGAGCGGUGGAAUGCGUAGAUAUCAGGAGGAACACCAGUGGCGAAGGCGGUUCUCUGGGCCUUUCCUGACGCUGAGGAGCGAAAGCGUGGGGAGCGAACAGGCUUAGAUACCCUGGUAGUCCACGCUGUAAACGGUGGGUACUAGGUGUGGGGUCCAUUCCACGGGUUCCGUGCCGUAGCUAACGCUUUAAGUACCCCGCCUGGGGAGUACGGCCGCAAGGCUAAAACUCAAAGGAAUUGACGGGGCCCCGCACAAGCGGCGGAGCAUGCGGAUUAAUUCGAUGCAACGCGUAGAACCUUACCUGGGUUUGACAUGGAUCGGGAGUGCUCAGAGAUGGGUGUGCCUCUUUUGGGGUCGGUUCACAGGUGGUGCAUGGCUGUCGUCAGCUCGUGUCGUGAGAUGUUGGGUUAAGUCCCGCAACGAGCGCAACCCUUGUUCACUGUUGCCAGCACGUUAUGGUGGGGACUCAGUGGAGACCGCCGGGGUCAACUCGGAGGAAGGUGGGGAUGACGUCAAGUCAUCAUGCCCCUUAUGUCCAGGGCUUCACGCAUGCUACAAUGGCUGGUACAGAGAGUGGCGAGCCUGUGAGGGUGAGCGAAUCUCGGAAAGCCGGUCUCAGUUCGGAUUGGGGUCUGCAACUCGACCUCAUGAAGUCGGAGUCGCUAGUAAUCGCAGAUCAGCAACGCUGCGGUGAAUACGUUCCCGGGGCU
rnacentral:rRNA from 1 species